AGAGUUUGAUCAUGGCUCAGAACGAACGCUGGCGGCAGGCCUAACACAUGCAAGUCGAGCGCUCCGCAAGGAGAGCGGCGCACGGGAUAAUAACGCGUGGGAACCUACCUUUCGGUUCGGAAUAACAUCGGGAAACUGGUGCUAAUACCGGAUACGCCCUUCGGGGGAAAGAUUUAUUGCCGAUAGAUGGGCCCGCGUUGGAUUAGCUAGUUGGUGAGGUAACGGCCCACCAAGGCAACGAUCCAUAGCUGGUCUGAGAGGAUGAUCAGCAUCACUGGGACUGAGACACGGCCCAGACUCCUACGGGAGGCAGCAGUGGGGAAUAUUGGACAAUGGGGGCAACCCUGAUCCAGCCAUGCCGCGUGAAUGAUGAAGGCCUUCGGGUUGUAAAGUUCUUUUGGCGGGGACGAUGAUGACGGUACCCGCAGAAUAAGCUCCGGCUAACUUCGUGCCAGCAGCCGCGGUAAUACGAAGGGAGCUAGCGUUGUUCGGAAUUACUGGGCGUAAAGGGCGCGUAGGCGGUUUGGCAAGUUGGAUGUGAAAGCCCUGGGCUCAACCCGGGAAUUGCAUUCAAGACUGCCUUACUCGAAUUCGGUAGAGGUUGGUAGAAUUCCCAGUGUAGAGGUGAAAUUCGUAGAGAUUGGGAAGAAUACCCGUGGCGAAGGCGGCCNCUGGACCGACAUUGACGCUGAGGCGCGAAAGCGUGGGUAGCAAACAGGAUUAGAUACCCUAGUAGUCC
rnacentral:rRNA from 1 species